GAUCCUGGCUCAGGAUGAACGCUGGCGGCGUGCUUAACACAUGCAAGUCGAACGAGCCUUCGGGCGAGUGGCGGACGGGUGAGUAACGCGUGGGAAUCUGCCCUCAGGAGGGGGAUAACGGCUGGAAACGGCCGCUAAUACCCCAUAUGCCGAGAGGUGAAAUGAAUUUCGCCUGAGGAUGAGCCCGCGUCUGAUUAGCUAGUUGGUGGGGUAAUGGCCCACCAAGGCGACGAUCAGUAGCUGGUCUGAGAGGAUGAUCAGCCACACUGGGACUGAGACACGGCCCAGACUCCUACGGGAGGCAGCAGUGGGGAAUUUUCCGCAAUGGGCGAAAGCCUGACGGAGCAACGCCGCGUGAGGGAUGAAGGCCUCUGGGCUGUAAACCUCUUUUCUCAAGGAAGAAGACAUGACGGUACUUGAGGAAUAAGCCACGGCUAAUUCCGUGCCAGCAGCCGCGGUAAUACGGGAGUGGCAAGCGUUAUCCGGAAUUAUUGGGCGUAAAGCGUCCGCAGGCGGCCUUGUAAGUCUGUCGUUAAAGCGUGGAGCUUAACUCCAUUUCAGCGAUGGAAACUACAAGGCUUGAGUGUGGUAGGGGCAGAGGGAAUUCCCGGUGUAGCGGUGAAAUGCGUAGAUAUCGGGAAGAACACCAGUGGCGAAGGCGCUCUGCUGGGCCAUAACUGACGCUCAUGGACGAAAGCCAGGGGAGCGAAAGGGAUUAGAUACCCCUGUAGUCCUGGCCGUAAACGAUGAACACUAGGUGUCGGGGGAAUCGACCCCCUCGGUGUCGUAGCUAACGCGUUAAGUGUUCCGCCUGGGGAGUACGCACGCAAGUGUGAAACUCAAAGGAAUUGACGGGGGCCCGCACAAGCGGUGGAGUAUGUGGUUUAAUUCGAUGCAACGCGAAGAACCUUACCAGGGUUUGACAUCCUGCGAAUCCCUUGGAAACGAGGGAGUGCCUUCGGGAGCGCAGAGACAGGUGGUGCAUGGCUGUCGUCAGCUCGUGUCGUGAGAUGUUGGGUUAAGUCCCGCAACGAGCGCAACCCACGUCUUUAGUUGCCAGCAUUCAGUUGGGCACUCUAGAGAGACCGCCGGUGAUAAACCGGAGGAAGGUGUGGAUGACGUCAAGUCAUCAUGCCCCUUACAUCCUGGGCUACACACGUACUACAAUGCUACGGACAAAGGGUUGCAAGCUCGCGAGAGUUAGCUAAUCCCAUAAACCGUGGCUCAGUUCAGAUCGUAGGCUGCAACUCGCCUACGUGAAGGAGGAAUCGCUAGUAAUCGCAGGUCAGCAUACUGCGGUGAAUACGUUCCCGGGCCUUGUACACACCGCCCGUCACACCAUGGAAGUUGGCCAUGCCCGAAGUCGUUACUCCAACCCUUGUGGAGGAGGACGCCGAAGGUGGGGCUGAUGACUGGGGUGAAGUCGUAACAAGGUAGCCGUACCGGAAGGUGCGGCUGGAUCACCUCCUAACAGGGAGACACAACUGAUCGUGAUGUCUGAGCGCCGACCAAGCGAAAGUUUGGGGAGCACAUUUGUCUCAGGCCACGGUCCUGUCAUCUCGAAGGUCGAUCGGUACCUCAAGGUGAGCCAUCAAACCCACGGAAGACCCAAAAGGAUCGAAAGAGACUGAAGGGAAUCAAGAGGCUGUUGUGAUGGACUCGUUUUCAGUUCCUAAACUUUGUCUAGGUCACCCCACAAAGGGUUUCACUGUUGCUUGAUGGGUUCUGAUCCUGAAAGGGAGAGGAAACAAAGGGCAAUGGUAGGGAUCCGAGUCAGAGUGAUUGUUCCUGGGCCAUUAGCUCAGGUGGUUAGAGCGCACCCCUGAUAAGGGUGAGGUCCCUGGUUCAAGUCCAGGAUGGCCCAUUCGUGUUUGGGGGUUUAGCUCAGUUGGUAGAGCGCCUGCUUUGCAAGCAGGAUGUCAGCGGUUCGAGUCCGCUAACCUCCAUCCAACCAGGUUAAGACCACAACAUGAAGCUGCAUCAGAGGAAUUCUGAUGGGUGAAGUGACCAAGACGAUGUUCAGCUGAGACUCCAGCCUCCUUUCAUUCCCCCCAUGUUGGCUCGAUGGUAUCGAGAAGCCAACAGAAAAGUUGAAAGGAAGCUGGACUCGCUGAUCAGCGGCGCGAGCCCGAUG
rnacentral:rRNA from 1 species